rnacentral:rRNA from 1 species
GCAAGUCGAGCGGAAACGAUCCUAGCUUGCUAGGAGGCGUCGAGCGGCGGACGGGUGAGUAACGCGUGGGAAUCUACCGAGUAGUGGGGGACAACUUAGGGAAACUUAAGCUAAUACCGCAUACGCCCUACGGGGGAAAGAGGGGGAUCUUCGGACCUCUUGCUAUUCGAUGAGCCCGCGUCAGAUUAGCUAGUUGGUGGGGUAAAGGCCUACCAAGGCUACGAUCUAUAGCUGGUUUGAGAGGAUGAUC